rnacentral:rRNA from 1 species
GUCGAGCGGAUGAAGGGAGCUUGCUCCUGGAUUCAGCGGCGGACGGGUGAGUAAUGCCUAGGAAUCUGCCUGGUAGUGGGGGAUAACGUCCGGAAACGGGCGCUAAUACCGCAUACGUCCUGAGGGAGAAAGUGGGGGAUCUUCGGACCUCACGCUAUCAGAUGAGCCUAGGUCGGAUUAGCUAGUUGGUGGGGUAAAGGCCUACCAAGGCGACGAUCCGUAACUGGUCUGAGAGGAUGAUCAGUCACACUGGAACUGAGACACGGUCCAGACUCCUACGGGAGGCAGCAGUGGGGAAUAUUGGACAAUGGGCGAAAGCCUGAUCCAGCCAUGCCGCGUGUGUGAAGAAGGUCUUCGGAUUGUAAAGCACUUUAAGUUGGGAGGAAGGGCAGUAAGUUAAUACCUUGCUGUUUUGACGUUACCAACAGAAUAAGCACCGGCUAACUUCGUGCCAGCAGCCGCGGUAAUACGAAGGGUGCA